rnacentral:rRNA from 1 species
GAAGAUUAAUAUCCCAUAAUAUAUUUGAUGGCAUCAUUAGAUAUUGAAAGCUCCGGCGGAUAGAGAUGGGCACGCGCAAGAUUAGAUAGUUGGUGAGGUAACGGCUCACCAAGUCUGUGAUCUUUAGGGGUCCUGAGAGGGAGAUCCCCCACACUGGUACUGAGACACGGACCAGACUCCUACGGGAGGCAGCAGUGAGGAAUAUUGGACAAUGGGUGAAAGCCUGAUCCAGCCAUCCCGCGUGAAGGAUGACGGUCCUAUGGAUUGUAAACUUCUUUUGUACAGGGAUAAACCUACUCUCGUGAGGGUAGCUGAAGGUACUGUACGAAUAAGCACCGGCUAACUCCGUGCCAGCAGCCGCGGUAAUACGGAGGGUGCAAGCGUUAUCCGGAUUUAUUGGGUUUAAAGGGUCCGUAGGCGGACCUGUAAGUCAGUGGUGAAAUCUCAUAGCUUAACUAUGAAACUGCCAUUGAUACUGCAGGUCUUGAGUAAAUUUGAAGUGGCUGGAAUAAGUAGUGUAGCGGUGAAAUGCAUAGAUAUUACUUAGAACACCAAUUGCGAAGGCAGGUCACUAAGAUUUAACUGACGCUGAUGGACGAAAGCGUGGGUAGCGAACAGGAUUAGAUACCCUGGUAGUCCACGCCGUAAACGAUGCUAACUCGUUUUUGGAUUUUCGGAUUCAGAGACCAAGCGAAAG